rnacentral:rRNA from 1 species
UACAGAGGCCACGAGCGUUAGGCGGAAUCACUGGGCUUAAAGCGCGUGUAGGCGGAUGUCUAAGUACCUUGUGAAAUCCCACGGCUCAACCGUGGAACUGCUUGGUAUACUGGAUGUCUUGAGGUGCUCAGGGGCGAGCGGAACAGACGGUGGAGCGGUGAAAUGCGUAGAUAUCGUCUGGAACGCCAAUGGUGAAGACAGCUCGCUGGGGGCAUACUGACGCUGAGACGCGAAAGCCAGGGGAUCAAAACGGGACUU